UACGUAGGGUGCAAGCGUUGUCCGGAAUUAUUGGGCGUAAAGAGCUCGUAGGUGGCCUGUCGCGUCGGCUGUGAAAACUCGGGGCUCAACUCCGAGCUUGCAGUCGAUACGGGCAGGCUAGAGUUCGGCAGGGGAGACUGGAAUUCCUGGUGUAGCGGUGAAAUGCGCAGAUAUCAGGAGGAACACCGGUGGCGAAGGCGGGCCUCUGGGCCGAUACUGACACUGAGGAGCGAAAGCGUGGGGAGCGAACAGG
rnacentral:rRNA from 1 species